ACGGGAGGCAGCAGUGAGGGAUAUUGCACAAUGGGGGAAACCCUGAUGCAGCAACGCCGCGUGGAGGAAGACGGUUUUCGGAUUGUAAACUCCUGUCUUUGGUGAAGAAAAAAAUGACGGUAGCCAAGGAGGAAGCCACGGCUAACUACGUGCCAGCAGCCGCGGUAAUACGUAGGUGGCAAGCGUUAUCCGGAAUUACUGGGUGUAAAGGGGGCGCAGGCGGGACUGCAAGUUGGAUGUGAAAUACCGCAGCUUAACUGCGGAGCUGCAUCCAAAACUGUAGUUCUUGAGUGGAGUAGAGGUAAGCGGAAUUCCGAGUGUAGCGGUGAAAUGCGUAGAUAUUCGGAAGAACACCGGUGGCGAAGGCGGCUUACUGGGCUCUUACUGACGCUGAGGCCCGAAAGUGUGGGGAGCAAACAGGAUUAGAUACCCUGGUA
rnacentral:rRNA from 2 species